GAUGAACGCUGGCGGCGUGCCUAACACAUGCAAGUCGAACGACGAAACCGCCCUCGGGCGGACAUGAAGCGGCGAACGGGUGAGUAACACGUGACCGACCUGCCCCCCGCCCAGGGACAGCCCCCCGAAAGGGGGAUUAAUACCUGGUACUCCGGAAGCGGCGCAUGCCGCCCCCGGGAAAGCUCUGGCGGCGGGGGAUGGGGUCGCGGCCCAUCAGGUAGACGGCGGGGCAACGGCCCACCGUGCCGACGUCGGGUAGCCGGGUUGAGAGACCGACCGGCCACAUUGGGACUGAGAUACGGCCCAGACUCCUACGGGGGGCAGCAGUGGGGAAUUUUGCGCAAUGGGGGCAACCCUGACGCAGCAACGCCGCGUGCGGGACGAAGGCGUCCGCGUCGUAAACCGCUUUCAGCGGGGAACACUUUUCGGGGGUACCCGCAGAAGAAGCCCCGGCUAAAUACGUGCCAGCCGCCGCCGUAA
rnacentral:rRNA from 1 species